GACGAACGCUGGCGGCGUGCUUAACACAUGCGAGUCGAACGGUGAAGCGCCUUCCUUUUUGGUGGGUGUGGAUGAGUGGCGAACGGGUGAGUAACACGUGAGUAACCUGCCCCCUUCUUCUGGAUAACCGCAUGAAAGUGUGGCUAAUACGGGAUAUUCUGGGUCUGUCGCAUGAUGGGUCUGGGAAAGAUAUUGUUUCGGUGGGGGAUGGGCUCGCGGCCUAUCAGCUUGUUGGUGGGGUGAUGGCCUACCAAGGCGGUGACGGGUAGCCGGCCUGAGAGGGUGGACGGUCACACUGGGACUGAGACACGGCCCAGACUCCUACGGGAGGCAGCAGUGGGGAAUAUUGCACAAUGGGCGCAAGCCUGAUGCAGCGACGCCGCGUGAGGGAUGGAGGCCUUCGGGUUGUGAACCUCCUUCGCCAGUGAAGCAGGCCUGCCUCGUUUGUGGGUGGGUUGACGGUAGCUGGAUAAGAAGCGCCGGCUAACUACGUG
rnacentral:rRNA from 1 species